AAUCUUUUUUUUGUAUAUUAUUUAGUAUUGCAUACUAUUUAAGGAAAAUGUUAUUUUUAUAACAAAUAGAAACAAAAAGUAAAGGGGUAAUUUGUUUUAGUUGUUACAAAACUAAUAUUAUUUUAACUCCGGUUUUGAUACAACGGUUUUUGUGAUAUCUGUUUUUAUUUUUUAUUAUUAGAAAAUUAUAUUUUUUUAUCUAGUUUAAUGGAAACAUAAAAUUUGAAGUGUUUUAUUUCUAUGUUUUAUAACUUUUUCUUUUGCUUAUUCUUUUUUAUUUUUUUUUUAUUCAUUUUUGAAUAAAUUAAUAAUCUUAAAAUUAGUAGAUUUAGUAAAUUCUCUUUAAAAAUAAAAUUUUAAAAAGAGAACUUGAUUUCUCGAUCAAAUGUUUAUUAAAGACUUAGGCUUUUAUUUAAAGCUUGCUUCUGCCCUAUGUUUCAUAAAUGGCAGUCUUAGCGUGAGGACAUUAAGGUAGCAAAAUAAUUUGUGCCUUUAUUGGGUUCCAGUAUGAAUGAAGUUACUGGUUGGUUAUCUUCUUUUAUUUUUUCGAACUUAAUUUCUGUUUAACAAAAAACAGUUAUACUUAAACAAAGAUAAGUCUUCGGAAAUUCUUUUUAUGUUUUUUCUUUUGUUUAAACAUAAAAUUUUCUAGGGCAGAAAUUUAUAUAAUUAUUUUUACUAAUAAUAAAUUAAUGAAUUACUCCGGAGCUAACAGAAAAUCAUACCUUAUCCAGUUCUUAUGGUAUUGGUAAGUUUUACAUCGAUGUUGUAUUCCUACAAACUAAAAAAGGAGAUAGUUUAGUUAUUAAGACUGUUCUUCUUUUAAAUAGUAGGACUUGAUAUUAGUUUAAUUCAUUGCGAGAUAGAAUUGUUUAUCUUGUUAAGUAUUUAAUUUUAAUAUAUUUAGUACGAAAGGAAAUUUAUAAAAGUUUUAAACUUUUUAAAAGCU
rnacentral:rRNA from 1 species